GGAAUUUUCCGCAAUGGGCGAAAGCCUGACGGAGCAACGCCGCGUGAGGGAUGAAGGCCUCUGGGCUGUAAACCUCUUUUCUCAAGGAAGAAGAUCUGACGGUACUUGAUGAAUAAGCCACGGCUAAUUCCGUGCCAGCAGCCGCGGUAAUACGGGAGUGGCAAGCGUUAUCCGGAAUUAUUGGGCGUAAAGCGUCCGCAGGCGGCCUUGUAAGUCUGUCGUUAAAGCGUGGAGCUUAACUCCAUUUCGGCGAUGGAAACUACAAGGCUUGAGUGUGGUAGGGGCAGAGGGAAUUCCCGGUGUAGCGGUGAAAUGCGUAGAUAUCGGGAAGAACACCAGUGGCGAAGGCGCUCUGCUGGGCCAUAACUGACGCUCAUGGACGAAAGCCAGGGGAGCGAAAGGGAUUAGAUACCCCUGUAGUCCUGGCCGUAAACGAUGAACACUAGGUGUCGGGGGAAUCGACCCCCUCGGUGUCGUAGCCAACGCGUUAAGUGUUCCGCCUGGGGAGUACGCACGCAAGUGUGAAACUCAAAGGAAUUGACGGA
rnacentral:rRNA from 1 species